UGUCUCAGUCCCAGAGGUGUGUGGUCUCAGCCCCAGAGGUGUGUGGUCUCAGUCCCAGAGGUGUGUGGUCUCAGUCCCAGAGGUGUGUGGUCUCAGUCCCAGAGGUGUGUGGUCUCAGUCCCAGAGGUGUGUGGUCUCAGUCCCAGAGGUGUGUGGUCUCAGUAGUCCCAGAGGUGUGUGGUCUGCUCCAGUGUCUCAGUCCCAGAGGUGUGUGGUCUCCUCCAGUGUCUCAGUCCCAGAGGUGUGUGGUCUCAGCCCCAGAGGUGUGUGGUCUCAGUCCCAGAGGUGUGUGGUCUCAGCCCCAGAGGUGUGUGGUCUCAGCCCCAGAGGUG